rnacentral:rRNA from 1 species
GACGAACGCUGGCGGCGUGCUUAACACAUGCAAGUCGAGCGAUGAAGCUUCUUCGGAAGUGGAUUAGCGGCGGACGGGUGAGUAACACGUGGGUAACCUGCCUUAUAGUGGGGAAUAGCCUUUCGAAAGGAAGAUUAAUACCCCAUAAGAUUGUAGUUUCGCAUGAAACAGCAAUUAAAGGAGCAAUUCGCUAUAAGAUGGACCCGCGGCGCAUUAGCUAGUUGGUGAGGUAACGGCUCAACAAGGCGACGAUGCGUAGCCGACCUGAGAGGGUGAUCGGCCACAUUGGGACUGAGACACGGCCCAGACUCCUACGGGAGGCAGCAGUGGGGAAUAUUGCACAAUGGGGGAAACCCUGAUGCAGCAACGCCGCGUGAGUGAUGACGGUCUUCGGAUUGUAAAGCUCAGUCUUUAGGGACGAUAAUGACGGUACCUAAGGAGGAAGCCACGGCUAACUACGUGCCAGCAGCCGCGGUAAUAC